UGAAGAGUACGAGGUAGAUAGGGCAGAGGUGGAAGUGUGGUAACACAUGGAGCUGACUGUUACUAAUCGUUUGAGGGCUUGACCAA
rnacentral:rRNA from 1 species